UACGUAGGGGGCAAGCGUUGUCCGGAUUUAUUGGGCGUAAAGAGCGUGUAGGCGGCCAGACAGGUCCGUUGUGAAAACUCGAGGCUCAACCUCGAGACGCCGAUGGAAACCGUCUGGCUAGAGUCCGGAAGAGGAGAGUGGAAUUCCCGGUGUAGCGGUGAAAUGCGCAGAGAUCGGGAGGAACACCCGUAGCGAAGGCGGCACUCUGGGCCGGUACUGACGCUGAGGAGCGAAAGCGUGGGGAGCGAACAGG
rnacentral:rRNA from 1 species